CUUUUGCUAAGGAAGAAAAUAUGCUGCAGUCUGAAUACUGUCAUAUCCUCUUCUUGAAGAAAGCUUUCAAUACAAUAAAUAAUUCUGCAGCUGAGAAAAGCCACAACCAUUCACUUCUUCUCAGCCAGAGCAGUUUAACAAACCUCUGUGAGUCUUCACUUCCUCUGGACUAAACAAAAAAGCACAAAACUUAAAGUUCUUCCGUAAAAACUUCCAGAAAUUGUAAGUUACAGGCUACACAAAAUUGAAACAGACACAUUAUGAUGCGUCUUUGUGUUUAAUAUCAUCCCAGAUGCAAUGGCACAAGUAGGAAUGAAAAUAAAUUCUCUGUUCAGGGAUGAGAUAAUGGAGGCGCAUACAUGAAACCUGCCCUGUUGAGGCAAAAGGGAUGUAGCUACUUUCUCAACCAGGGCUUCCACCUUUUACCAGAUUAAAUGUGAAACUACCAUUUGAUGGCACAGGAUAUGUAUUUGCCUAGAAUAGUAUUUAUUUUUAUAUCUGAUCACUUGGUAUUGAUCCAGGAAGCAAACUGUGCAGAACUCUGAGCAAAUACUCUGGCACUCUGAAACACAGGGUUGGGAAAAGAUAGAAGAGACAAAACAAGUGGGUUAACAGGGAAAGUCACCAGAGGGCCAUUUUUUGUUGGGUUUUCGGCCUAAGUGUUGCGGUACUGCAAGUGCGUGUGUGUGCGCUUGUGUGUGUGUGUGCACUUGUGUGUGUGUGUGUGUGUCUGCCUGGUUCUGUGGAGAAGACAGAGAUCAGUUUCCUUUGAGGCUGUAUCACUGGGUCUCCCCAAGCACUCCCCACUCCCCCCUAUUUUGGGGCCUGCCAGGCCUCAGGUGUCAGGGAACAAGAUGGCGCCCACAGUGAAGGUCACUGAGUGAGGGGGCCCAAGGGUGGGCCUUCACUUACUC